GUAGCUUAGUGGUUAGAGUAUUAGUCUCCAACUCUAAAGUAUUGGGUUCGAAUCUUGCCAAUGACA